rfam:Ceriporiopsis subvermispora B unplaced genomic scaffold CERSTscaffold_39, whole genome shotgun sequence.
GCUCUCGUCGUCUAAUGGCUAUGAUAUCAGAUUCCUAAUCUGAAGGUUCCGGGUUCGAGUCCCGGCGGGAGUA